CAGUGAGGUUGAGGUGUUGUGCCUGCAAAGCAGCCAAGAAAGGUCCACUAUGUCUACUGCCACUGCAUGUUAAAUUUCAGUCUGUACAUGUUCAGUGCUUCAUCCAUGUUGAGGUAUCGGCUUGUACAUGGGUACAUAUUGUCAGGGCAGUGUAAGAUGCCCAGCCAUUAUUUAUUUAUGAGAAGUGCCAAAUUUCAAGACCAAAGGUGCUAUGCGUUGAUGUUUGCGUUGUAAAGCUUACAAGGAACAACACAGUGCUAUGCCUUUAGGUGGUACGUACUGCGCUGUCGAGCCUUCAUGCAAUGGAGAAAGGCUCUUAUUUAUAUUUGAUGGAAGGCUUUUUACCAGAAGUUAUUCAUUCUAUCUAAUAAGGUUAGUCCCUAGGUUAAACCCUCCUUGACUAGGUGUCAUAUUUUAGUGUAUCUGACACCUUGGGGCUACCACUUGCAUAUGAUGCAAAUACUUUAUUACAACAGAUAAUCAAUCUUAGGGGGUAUCCCAUCAUG